rnacentral:lncRNA from 10 species
UCUCAAAAAAAAAAAAUGUAAUUUUUUUCAGUUCCUAACAAGCCUGUAACACGGUUAAAAAACAAAGGACUGCACUUGAAUAGAUGAUGUAUGAGUCUGUACAUUUCUUCCAUGUGAACAUUUAUCAUAUUUGAGUGGUACAAUGAAUGGAUGAAAGAGAUGUGUGAGCAGGGAAGGUACUGGAAUCAAGGAUACCCAUCUGGACGGAUGGGCUGUUCUGGAUGAGCCCUGGGAAUCCUGGCCUUCUUGCCCUCUUCUCCCUUGCGGGGUUACCACGGACCC